UUUAUACUGAUAAAGAAUGUAUUUUUCCAGAAGAUUUCCAGCAUGGCCACCUCCUGCUGGAAGCUGGGAUGCUGGAAUCAGGCCUCUUCCUGUCUGUCUUUACAGGACACUGGGCUGCACUCUGAGAAGUUCCUGUUGCUCCCCUGACCAUCAUGUGGCCAGAGAAAUUGUGAGAACAUUUAGACCUGAGCUUGUACUCUCUGCACUGGGACAUGGAGACCCGGGUGGAGGCCUGGUCUAG
rnacentral:lncRNA from 1 species